rnacentral:pre_miRNA from 1 species
AGUGGAAUUGCUGGGUUAUAUGGUAACUCUGUGUUUAACUUUUUGAGGAACUGCCAAACUCUUUUCCAAGCAGAUGCAUCAUUUUACAUUCCCCCCAGCAAU